rnacentral:rRNA from 1 species
CCCUAUGGGGUGCAGCAGGCGCGAAACCUUUACAAUGCACGAAAGUGUGAUAAGGGAAUUCCAAGUGUGCAUAUACCAUAUGCACUUUUCUUUAGUGUAAAAAGCUAGGGGAAUAAGGGGUGGGUAAGACUAGUGCCAGCCGCCGCGGUAAAACUAGCAUCCCAAGUGGCAGUCACCAUUACUGGGCUUAAAGCGUUCGUAGCUUGUUUGGAAAGUCUCUGCUGAAAUCCUGCGGCUUAACCGUAGGGCUUGGCGGAGAAACUCUCAGACUUGAGGACAGGAGAGGUUAGGGGUACUUCUGGGGUAAGGGUGAAAUCUUAUAAUCCUAGAAGGACCAACAGUGGCGAAGGCGCCUAACAUGAAUGUGCCUGACAGUGAGGAACGAGAGCCAGGGUCGCGAAACGGAUUAGAUACCCGUGUAGUCCUGGCCGUAAACGAUGCUGACUAGGUGGGGUGUGUUCUUAGUGAACAUGCUAUGCCGAAGGGAAACCGUUAAGUCAGCCGCCUGGGGAGUACGUUCGCAAGAAUGAAACUUAAAGGAAUUGGCGGGGGAGCACUACAAGGGGUGGAAGCUGCGGUUUAAUUAGAUUCAACGCUGGACAUCUCACCGGAGGCGACAGCAGAAUGAAGGCCAGACUGAUGGUCUUGCCGAACACGCUGAGAGGUGGUGCAUGGGCC